rnacentral:rRNA from 1 species
CGUAGGGUGCGAGCGUUAAUCGGAAUUACUGGGCGUAAAGCGUGCGCAGGCGGUUAUAUAAGACAGAUGUGAAAUCCCCGGGCUCAACCUGGGAACUGCAUUUGUGACUGUAUAGCUAGAGUACGGCAGAGGGGGAUGGAAUUCCGCGUGUAGCAGUGAAAUGCGUAGAUAUGCGGAGGAACACCGAUGGCGAAGGCAAUCCCCUGGGCCUGUACUGACGCUCAUGCACGAAAGCGUGGGGAGCAAACAGGAUUAGAUACCCUGGUAGUCCACGCCCUAAACGAUGUCAACUGGUUGUUGGGUCUUCACUGACUCAGUAACGAAGCUAACGCGUGAAGUUGACCGCCUGGGAGUACGGCCGCAAGGUUG